AAUGUUGGACAUUGGACGCAAGCGUGAUCCAGCCAGGCCGCGUGAUUGAAGAAGGCCAUCUGUUUGUAAAUCUCUUUCGGACGGAAAGUAAUCGCGCAGGCAAAGACCCUGCGCGGAUGACGGUACCGUCAUAAGGUGCACCGGCUCACUACGUGUCAGCCGAGGCGGUAAUCCGUAGGGUGCGAGCGUUAAACUGUAUUACUGGGCGUAAAGCGUGCGGCGGCGGUUGAUAAAGACAGGCGUGAGAUGCCCGGGCUUAACCUGGGAACUGCGCUUGUGACUAGUCAGCUAGAGUACGGCAGAGGGGGGUGGAAUUCCACGUGUAGCAGUGAAAUGCGUAGAGAUGUGGAGGAACACCGAUGGCGAAGGCAGCCCCCUGGGCCGAUACUGACGCUCAUGCACGAAAGCGUGGGUAGCAAACAGG
rnacentral:rRNA from 1 species